rnacentral:rRNA from 1 species
CCUACGAGUGGCAGCAGUGGGGAAUAUUGGACAAUGGGCGAAAGCCUGAUCCAGCCAUGCCGCGUGUGUGAAGAAGGCCUUCGGGUUGUAAAGCACUUUCAGUGGGGAAGAAAGCCUUGGGGCUAAUACCCUCGAGGAAGGACAUCACCCACAGAAGAAGCACCGGCUAACUCCGUGCCAGCAGCCGCGGUAAUACGGAGGGUGCGAGCGUUAAUCGGAAUUACUGGGCGUAAAGCGCGCGUAGGCGGUCUGAUAAGCCGGUUGUGAAAGCCCCGGGCUCAACCUGGGAACGGCAUCCGGAACUGUCAGGAUAGAGUGCAGGAGAGGAAGGUAGAAUUCCCGGUGUAGCGGUGAAAUGCGUAGAGAUCGGGAGGAAUACCAGUGGCGAAGGCGGCCUUCUGGACUGACACUGACGCUGAGGUGCGAAAGCGUGGGUAGCAAACAGGAUUAGAUACCCGGGUAGUC